GACGUAGGGGGCAAGCGUUGUCCGGAUUUAUUGGGCGUAAAGAGCGUGUAGGCGGCCAUACAGGUCAGCUGUGAAAACUCGAGGCUCAACCUCGAGACGUCGGUUGAAACCGUAUGGCUAGAGUCCGGAAGAGGAGAGUGGAAUUCCCGGUGUAGCGGUGAAAUGCGCAGAUAUCGGGAAGAACACCCGUGGCGAAGGCGGCUCUCUGGGACGGUAUUGACGCUGAGACGCGAAAGCGUGGGGAGCGAACAGG
rnacentral:rRNA from 1 species